UCAAGCAUCUCUUUCUGCUCUCUCUUUCUGUGUUUUGCUUUUCUGGGUGGUUUUUGGGGCCAAACAUUUUUAUCAGAAUGUUACCAGUUUCUACAUUUAAUACUUAAAUGAUGUCGAUUUGAGUAACUACUGUCUUGUUUGCUGGAUUAUGAUGGUCAUAUAGCAUGUUUGGGUUACCUUCUAUUGUUUUUAGAAUCAAUUCUGACAGACAAAAGUUUUCAAAAGUCCAUUCUGACACCCAAAAGCUACUCAUAAAAGCUUCUACCCGGAAUUGGUUUUGGCUUUAAAGUUUAAAAUCAAUUGGAUUCCUAAAAUUGCACUUAGUGCCUAUAACAUGCCCACUUGAAAAUUUCUCCACCAGCAACUGGCUAUUCCCCUUUCUGACACUUUUUUCCAGCUAUUAUUGGACUGAAUUUGAUGAUUUUUACGCACCAUCACUAAUGUUUUGUGAGGAGGAAAGGUAAAGUGUAGAAUUCUAGGGUGAUUUCAGGAGAGGGUAAAGGUUGGAGCUCAUGCUCUGUGAAUGAGGUGAGGCUCAAGAAGUCAAGAGGUCUUGUUCCAUAUACAAUGUCAUAAGUUCUAAUUUGAAAAGGAAUGAAGUUGCUUUUUAAAUUCAAUCUUAGAUUCAAAUUUGGGUAAUUCCUUAUUCUUUUUUCUUUAUCAAUAGGAAUUAAAAGAAUUUAUUCGAUACUAUGUAUCAAUACUGAUGAGUUUCUGAUGCAUUGUGGUCUUAGUUUGAUGUAAUGAUUACAUGCUUGGUAGAAUAAAUAAAGGUCCCAACUUGUAAUGAGUAGUGAGUUUUGCAUAUUUCAGAAAGUGUGUGGUGAAAGUGGUAUAGUGAGACAAAUGGGUGAUAGUGACAAUUUAGGUGUGAAUGCUGCAGACAUGUUCUGUUUACAAUAACUUAUUUGCCUAUACAGAAAGUGACAGUCACUAUACAUGUCUGUUGUUGGUGACUGUCACUGUGAUUUUCAAUGAAGGUUAUCAUAAUAGUGUGGAUACUUUUGGUGGAAAACAGCAUCUCGAAAGUGAUGGGAAGAAAAUGGGAAUGGUAAAGAGAUGAUGCAUAUUUGAUUAAAGUAGG